UCACUCUUAUUGGAAGUCUAGAAAUGCCAAAGGAUGACAUAUGGCUUGUCACAGCUAUCCUAUCUGGUCUGAUUGAAUAAUGUGCGAAGAUAUAAGUCACAUCUUUCUUGGCCUCCUAUCUUCGCCUCAGGCAGCUGGGAGUGGUUUUAUACUCGCUGAUGACAUCAAGUCUUAGGUGCUUCCAUUGAUCAAUAACUCUGCGAAAUAUGGAGGGAUCAUGAUGUGGUUCAAGUACUAUGAUGAUCAACAUGGCUACAAUUCUUGAGUGAAGAGUGAUGUUUAGGUUGUUGCCUGUGGUGUGUCACAAUAUCUGUGUGUUACUUGUGUGUAUGUGAGAAAUUAUGUGACUCUGGAGUCUGGAUAGUGCAAUAAGUAUUCUCAAGUA